rnacentral:lncRNA from 1 species
CAGCAGUAAAAUAACAAUAGUGAGGUUUUAUACAGGGGUACCUGUACAGAGUCAAUGUGGAGGCUAUAUACAGGGGGUACCAGUACAGAGUCAAUGUGGAGGCUAUAUACAGGAGGUACCAGUACAGAGUCAAUGUGGAGGCUAUAUACAGGGGUACCGGUACAGAGUCAAUGUGGAGGCUAUAUACAGGGGGUACCGGUACAGAGUCAAUGUGGAGGCUAUAUAAGUAAUAUGUACAUGUAGGUGGAGUUGUUAAAGUGACUAUGCAUAGAUAAUAACAGAGUAGCAGCAGCAUAGAAGAGGGGGGGAGAGACAAUGCAAAUAGUCUGUAAAGCCAUUUGAUACAAUUUUCAGGAGUCUUAUGUCUUGGGGGUAGAAGCUGUUUAGAAGCCUCUUGAACCUAGACUUGGGGCACCGGUACCACUUGCCGUGCGGUAGCAGAGAGAACAGUCUG